AAUUAUGUCAAAUAUGGAUCCGUAGUGUGCAAAGCCAAGCUUUAUGCCCCACCUAAGGACUCUCCAUUCAACAUACCUACCAAGUUGAACGAGGGAACAGACUUGAAGGUCAAAUCCAAAGACAAAUAUGAAGUUGUGUUGAAGGAUAAGCCAUUUGCUUAUGCUUCAAAGAAGCAUUCAAAGAAUGUGAAAAGCCCAAGCCUUCACCAACUCCAUACUACUACAAAUCACCUCCUCCUCCAUCUCCAGUUUACAUAUACAGGUCACCACCUCCUCCAUCACCUACCUAUGUUUACAAGUCACCAUCACCACCAGUUAAGUCACCUCCCUAUUACUAUCAAUCUCCACCUCCACCAUCACCAAAACCUAAACCUCCUCCAUACUAUUACCAAUCUCCACCUCCACCGUCACCAAAACCUCAGCCUCCUUAUUAUUAUUACUCUCCACCUCCUCCGACACCAGUUGUUAAACCACCAUACUACUACCAAUCUCCACCUCCUCCAUCACCAAAACCUAAGCCUCCAUACUACUACCAUACUACUACCAAUCCACUUCCUCCAUCACCAAAACCUCAGCCUCCUUACUAUUACCAAUCUCCACCUCCUCCAUCACCAAAACCCAAGCCUCCAUACUAUUACCAAAUUUGAAUACUAACAAGGUACACACUCUCAACUCACCCCUCCUCUUUAUUUCAUACAUAUUCACACUCAACUCUAACUAAAACAUUUUUCCAAUUUAAGAUAAAAUCUGCAAGAAAGCAAGAAUAUAAAGAGCUUGCAGAAUGGUAUCUUAACAGUGAAAAAGCAAAGGGAGAUUGCAUGGAGAAUUUUGAUCCAACUUUACCACAGGAUCAUAAGAAAUCACUUCUUGGUAGUAUGUCUGAACCUGAGUGAGAGUUUCUCUAACUCUAACACCAGUAUGAUUAAAUUGUUUAGAUACACACGUAGCCCAAUGCUACUACUUUGGAUUCACUCAUUAGUCUUUGUGGAGAUUUAAGAUGUUGAAAUAAUUUAAGUUCAUAAAAUGUUUUAUGCUAUCAAACCUUUUUCUUUUUGCUGCUCACAGAAAAGAGAAAAGGGGAAACUGUAAUUAGGCCAUUCAAAUGAGAACCUUAAUGUGUACCUGCUUCUGAACUUACUAUUAUUUCUCAAUGCUAAUUAACUUUUACGUUUGACUGGCCAAGAGAAUGAACCCAUAGAAUGAACCCAUUUUCCAUAUACAGUUAUUAUUCUUAAUUUGAGUGAAAGGAGUUUAGAAUAUAUUUUGCAGAGAUGAAUUAAUGGGAGGUAGUGUACAGAACCAUGGUCCG
rnacentral:lncRNA from 1 species